rnacentral:rRNA from 1 species
UACGGGGGUGGCAAGCGUUGUUCGGAAUUACUGGGCGUAAAGGGCGCGUAGGCGGCCACCGCAAGUCAGUUGUGAAAGCUCUGGGCUUAACCCAGAAAGGUCAGCUGAUACUGCGGGGCUAGAGUGCAGAAGGGGCAACUGGAAUUCUCGGUGUAGCGGUGAAAUGCGUAGAUAUCGAGAGGAACACCUGCGGCGAAGGCGGGUUGCUGGGCUGACACUGACGCUGACAGCGCGAAAGCUAGGGGAGCGAACGGG